rnacentral:rRNA from 1 species
CAGGGACGACUCACAUAGAGGCAGCAGUAGAGAAUCUUGUGCAAUAAACGAAAGUAUGACACAGAGAGGACACAUUUAAUUGAGCCCGUCAAAUUAAGUGCCAGCCGACGCGGUUAAACUUAAGGGCUGGUCUUUAUAAGUAAAAAGGCGUAAAGGAUGUGUAGGCCAAGAAAGGGUCCAAGUAGGUAAAUGGAAUUUUUCUGGAGCGGUAGAAUGUGAGGAUAGAAAAGAGAACCCCUAAGGUAAAAACUAUUUACCACAAGGAAGGCUGAAACAUGAGAGUGUGGGGAGCAAACAGGAUUAGAGACCCUGGUAGUCCACACUGUGAACUUUGAAGAUGAUGCUUAGCAGACCCGAAAGGUAAAAUCUUCCGCCUGAGUAGUACGAUCGCAAGAUUAAAAUUCAAAAACUUUGGCUGUUCACUAUUUCGAUUAGAGGAGCGUGUAGUUUAAUUCGAUGGUCCGCGUGUUACCUUACCCCAACUUGAAUCUGUGACCGGUAUUGCAUGGCCGUCGUAAGUUCGUGUAUUAAGCUAGAAGGGACCCAACCCGGGCAUUUGCCCGGAGGAAGUCAGGUCUUAUGAUCCGAAUGUUGGGGGAUUUUAUGCGCUACAUUUUCUUAUAUAAUGAGAAACCUGGAAGGUGAGUCUCUAAAGUAAGAGUUCGGAAGGUCGCUGUAAGACGACUGGAAGUUGGAUUUAAUAGUAAUCGGAAAGUAGGGCGUUCCGGUGAAUUGGUACAAGUGUUAGCACAAAUUGCCCGUCACCUUUACUUAGAAUGGUUAUUCGGAUGUCUCGUGAUAUGAUGCUC